UCGAUCUCAAAUCAGGUAGGACUACCCGCUGAACUUAAGCAUAUCAAUAAGCGGAGGAAAAGAAACUAACAAGGAUUCCCCUAGUAACUGCGAGUGUAGCGGGAAGAGCUCAAAUUUAAAAUCUGGCGUGCCUCUGGUCGUCCGAGUUGUAGUCUAGAGAAGUGUUUUCCGUGUUGGACCGUGUAUAAGUCUCUUGGAACAGAGCGUCGUAGAGGGUGAGAAUCCCGUCUUUGACACGGACUACGUCAAGUUGUUUGGGAAUGCACUC
rnacentral:rRNA from 1 species